rnacentral:rRNA from 1 species
AGCAGCCGCGGUAAUUCCAGCUCCAAUAGCGUAUAUUAAAGUUGUUGCAGUUAAAAAGCUCGUAGUUGAAUUUCGGGAUCAGUAUGUUGGUCGUGCUUCGGUACGUACUGUCAUUACUGGUUUCUACCUUCUGAAGAACCUUGAUGUCAUUAAUUUGGUGUCUUGGGGAAUCAGGACUGUUACUUUGAAAAAUUAGAGUGUUUAAAGCAAGCAUACGCUUGAAUACAUUAGCAUGGAAUAAUGAAAUAGGACGUUUGAUUCUAUUUUGUUGGUUUCUAGGAUCGACGUAAUGAUUAAUAGGGAUAGUUGGGGGCAUCAGUAUUCAAUUGUCAGAGGUGAAAUUCUUGGAUUUAUUGAAGACUAACUACUGCGAAAGCAUUUGCCAAGGAUGUUUUCAUUAAUCAAGAACGAAAGUUAGGGGAUCGAAGACGAUCAGAUACCGUCGUAGUCUUAACCAUAAACUAUGCCGACUAGGGAUCGGAUGAUGUUAUUUUUAAUGACUCAUUCGGCGUA